GAUCUAUAGCUCAGUGGUAGAGCAUGUGCUUUGCAUCUUAAAGGUCCCAGGUUCAAUCCUUGGCGUUCCA